rnacentral:rRNA from 1 species
AUCAACUUUCGAUGGUAGGAUAGAGGCCUACCAUGGUGGUAACGGGUAACGGGGUGUUAGGGCACGACACCGGAGAGGGAGCCUGAGAAACGGCUACCACAUCCAAGGAUGGCAGCAGGCGCGCAAAUUACCCAAUCCCGACACGGGGAGGUAGUGACAAUAAAUAACAAUACGGGGUUCUUUCGGAUCUCGUAAUUGGAAUGAGUACAAUUUAAAUCUCUUAACGAGGAACAAUUGGAGGGCAAGUCUGGUGCCAGCAGCCGCGGUAAUUCCAGCUCCAAUAGCGUAUAUUAAAGUUGUUGCAGUUAAAAAGCUCGUAGUUGAAUUUCGGGGUCAGCAGGUUGGUCGUGCCAAUGGUAUGCACUGGCCUUGCUGAUUCCUCCCUCUUGAUGAGCCGUAAUGCCAUUAAUUUGGUGUUGCGGGGAAUCAGGACUGUUACUUUGAAAAAAUUAGAGUGUUUAAAGCAGGCAAGCGCUUGAAUACAUUAGCAUGGAAUAAUGAAAUAGGACGUUCGAUCCUAUUUUGUUGGUUUCUAGGAUUGACGUAAUGAUUAAUAGGGAUAGUUGGGGGCAUUAGUAUUCAAUUGUCAGAGGUGAAAUUCUUGGAUUUAUUGAAGACUAACUACUGCGAAAGCAUUUGCCAAGGAUGUUUUCAUUAAUCAAGAACGAAAGUUAGGGGAUCGAAGACGAUCAGAUACCGUCGUAGUCUUAACCAUAAACUAUGCCGACUAGGGAUCGGAUGAUGUUAAUUUUUUAAUGACUCAUUCGGCGCCUUACGGGAAACCAAAGUGUUUGGGUUC